UUGGAACCAACACUUCACCAGUUCCUACCCUUCCUACAGCUCCUACCUUUCCAGUGGAGUCUGCCCACUCUGCAUACUCCCAAGUUCACGCCAUUGAUUCUCCCCUAGCUGAGGUUUCAAAAGAUACAAUAUGCCCAGAACUAUCAAUGGCUCAUUCUAGUUCUCUACCACAUGAUGCUUUCACUGGCAAAGCAGAUGAAUUUUUCCCUUGGCGUGAUCUAUUAAGGCCAAAGCCAUCUCUUAUCUCGUUAGGCGCCAUCUUCCAAUAAUAAAACAACUUUAUGCUUCAACGAGUGAAAAAGGCUCUCCACUCUUAUCUCUCUUCAAAUACUCAGCUAUCUCCUUUUUCAAUACUAGUGAG
rnacentral:lncRNA from 1 species